rnacentral:rRNA from 1 species
GACAGAGGGUGCAAACGUUGUUCGGAAUUACUGGGCGUAAAGCGAGUGUAGGCGGUUCGAUAAGUCGGAUGUGAAAGCCCCGGGCUCAACCCGGGAAGUGCACUCGAUACUGUCGAGCUAGAGUAUCGGAGAGGUUGGUGGAAUUCUCGGUGUAGAGGUGAAAUUCGUAGAUAUUCGCAAGAACACCAGUGGCGAAGGCGGCUCACUGGCCCGGUACUGACGCUGAGGUGCGAAAGCGUGGGGAGCAAGACG